CGUAGCCUCAGGCUACUCCUGACCUUCUGCGGAUUCCAGAUGGAGGAUCGUCUUCCUCCUGACCAGCGCUGACCACAGGAUCUUAUCCAGGAUACUACAUUGUAUUUAGUCCUGUGUCUCCUUAGGCUCCUCUUCCCGGUGACAGUUCCUCAGGU